UUCGGAUUGCAGGCUGCAACUCGCCUGCAUGAAGCUGGAAUUGCUAGUAAUCGCGGAUCAGCAAGCCGCGGUGAAUACGUUCCCGGGCCUUGUACACACCGCCCGUCACACCAUGAGAGUCGGGAACACCCGAAGUCCGUAGUCUAACCGCAAGGGGGGCGCGGCCGAAGGUGGGUCCGGUAAUUGGGGUGAAGUCGUAACAAGGUACC
rnacentral:rRNA from 1 species